CCUUGUCAGUCACCAUUUGUUUAAAGUGAUGGAAGCAGCCACCAGAUGGCUGGAAACAUAUUCCAUGCUACAGCACAAAAUACUGCCCUGGGUCUUGAAAAGCAAGUCUUGUGUGGUGACAUGGCACUCCAGAAAGAAUUGAGUCAGACAGCAGGAUUCACUUACCAAAAAAAAACCUCAUGGGCAGCUGGGCUAAGGAGCAUGGUAUUGGGUGGGUAUGUUACAUCCCAUAUCAUGUAUCAGCCUCCGGAAAAAUUAAAUGAUACAAUGGACUGUUAGAGAUGACAUUGAGAGCAAUAGGUGCUGGGACAUUCAAACACUGAUAUGCAUAUUUAGCAAAAGUCACCUGAAUUUGCCAGUUAAGCUGGUCCUGGCCAAUCAAAACUCCUGCAGGCCACAGAAGGGGAUAAAAAACAUUCUGAGCAUGACAGUCUGAGUUAUUCCUGCCUCAGGCAAAGGCAAACCUGCUUGUGGGCUUGCUUUUGCUCAAGGACUUGAGUGUAUGUGCUGGGUAACACUGAAUGAUGGGGGUGUCUGGUGUGUACCUCAAGGUGAUCUGAUGCUGGGUAAUUACAGUCAAUAACUCUAUGGUGUUAAAUUAUUGCAUAGUACUGCAUGUCAUCUUUAUUAUGGUUAUUAUAUGUCUUGUUAACAGUAGUGCAAUAAGAGCUACCCAUGUUAAAGAGGAAUGAACCCAGAUGGAACCAGAAUUAGUUUCUGCAUGUAGUAAUCCAAUAUUGUGAAUAUUUUCUCCUAUGUAGAAAGACAGAUAAAGGUAAGGAUUGAAGUUAUGAACUGAAUGAAUACCAUGGGCAAUCUACUUGAAGGACCCGUAGAGUAUGGGAAUAAUAUGUAUGUGUAUAUAUAUCACGAAGCAAGACAGAUAGGUGAUAGUAAUGAGGGCAGUUAGGAUGCGUAAAAAUUGCAGAGCCUGAGCAUGAUGGAAAUGGUAUGGAAUAAAGGGUGUGUAUUGUCUUAGUUUCAGCUGGGACAAUUUUUUUUCUUCAGCGUGUUAGGUGUGAUGCCAUGUUAUGGUUCUAAGAGAAAAAUAAUGUCAACAACACACUGAUGUUUAUAGCUGCUGCUAAGCAGCAUUGUACAGAGCCAUCAUCAUUCUCAGUGAUGCUGGGAGGGAGCAGAAUUAGGAUGGCUGACUUAAACUGGCUGAAGUGAUAUUCCAUGUUGUUUGGCAUCAUGCAGGAGGAGUUUUGAAUGGGGUGGGAGUUCAGCUCUUGCUUUUGUGCUACUCAGGAGGCUAUCUGGGCAUUGGUUGGGGGAUGUUGAGCAAUUGCUUGUGCAUCACUUGUUGUAUACAUUUAUGCGUAUAUAUGUUUGUAAUAAUUUUCCUUUUCUCUACCUUAGUAAAUAGUUUUAUCUCAAACCAUGAAUUCUACUUCCUUUUUUUUCCCAGUCCUUUUUCCCAUUCCACUGGGGAGGGAGGAAGUGAGUAAACAACUGUGUGGUGCUCAGACACCUACUGGGAUAAAUCACAUUCUACUUAGUAGAAAAUGCUGUAAGACAUCCACCUUAGUCAUUGUUGAAAUACCUCUCAAAUGCAAUCUCCCACACUGCAUGCUACAUCAUUAGUAAACAUGGUGAAAAUGCAGAAUGUCUGAGUAUCUAACAAGUCCAAGCUCACGUAGGUUUUCACAGCUAUCUGUUGAGCCAUCUUGCUGAAGUUACUUUACCUAGUUUAGUUAUGGCCAAUAGCAUUAAUUUGGGGAUUUUUAUUUCUAGUGUUUUUGUCAUACACCUCUGGUUACUUGGAAUUGUCAAAGUUCAUUUUCCUAUUCAAACCUUGACAAUGACCUAUAGCAGUCUUCUGUUCUUUUUCAAAAGCCAUGUCUGUAAUAUCUCACUCAUAAACCAAGACACUACAUUAAUUAUAUGAGUAUCUAGUAUUGUCAGUCUUUGCACCACACAAUUACAGGCAAGCUGUGAUAAGUUUUAAGUAUUUGAGCUGUGAUUUGAAUUGCUGUUCUUUCCAUUUGAUACUUGCAUCAUUUGGAAGGGUGAACAUCUAACAUACAGAAUUUCACUUUCAAUCCUGCUUAAGACCAUUUGCAGAAUAGGAGAGACGCUCAUUGUAACAGAUUCUACACACAUGAAACACGAAGUGAUGCUUGAGCUGCAAGACACAUAAGUUUAUGCUUAUACUGCUCCCAAAUAUGUGCCCCUGAAGCCCCUUAAUAAAGCUCUGAACUGACUGCAAACCUGAUACCAUUUCUGUUCUAGCAGUCACCUUUCAAAUCAUGCUAGAGAAUAUUCUAUUUGCAGUUAAAUUCUCUUGGAAGAAGCUCUUCUGGCACUUUAUAAAACACAUAAAACUAUUUAUCUCUAAAAGCAUUUAAUUUAGUGUGAAAUUCAAAUAAAUCAACCGUAUAUACUUUUUAAAAUCAACAAUAAGGAUGUGAUUUAUGAGAAAUUAAAAGUGGUGAAGGCUUAGCAAGAGAUACAAAGAUACCUGAAUAAGGCUAAGUUAAAACUUGUUCACGCAUUAGAAACUCUUGCAUGAAAAAUGCCUAAAAUCCAAAAUGCAACACUUCCCCAAGGAUAUGUGUUAGCCUGUGAUCAGUUUUUAAAACUCAUGAUUUCUACCUGUCUAGCUUUGGUGCUCUUUCCUUUCCUCUCCUUUCCCCUUUCUCCUUCCCCCCUUCCGUCUUCCCCCUUCCUUCCCCCUUCAUUUCCCUUCCUUUUCUUCUUUUUCUGUGUGUGUGUGUUCUGUCGGUAAUAGCUCUAUAUCGUAGUUCUCCCAAAUCCAUCUCAAAUAAGAUCACUGUAUCCCGUGAGCCAUGAAAAGUUGAUAUGGGAAGAAAGAGUGACAGGAGAACGUAUUUUAUUUUUUUGUAUUGGUUUGGGAUUUUUUAAUAGAGUUUCUCUUAUUUCCUGGUAUAUAAAAGCUGUAAACAGGCUCAAAAAAAGAGACAGCUUUAUUGGUAGAAAAUUUUGCUCCUUAUAACUUAUUAUUUUGUGUAAAAUAGAUCUCCCUAAUAAUAUUUCAAAAAUUUAGGUCAGUUUAUACUUUAAAUAUCUUUUAAAUUCACAAUUGUAGAAAGUUAAUCUUUUUGUCUACUAUUUUAAAUCUUCUCUUUGGUAUUCUGUUCAGCUAAUUAUGACAGGCCAGAAAUAUUCCAUGGGUCUGGAUUCUUUUUUUAGAUGAUAAGUAUUACCAUUAUUAGUAGUAUUAUUUAAUUAGCAUAUGUAAGCUUUUUUUUUCCUCAUUGUAAUAGAAUAUGGGCUGGUGUCAAUGAGCUUAUUGCAUACUGACUCAAACGUUAGGCAAGGAAGAGUAUGUGAGGAGAAAGGAUAAGGGACAGCUUAUUGCAUAUGAUGUAAAAAUCUCCUCCAGGAAGCUCUGUAGGGGUGCUUCUCUGCAGACCUGGCUCCCAGUGCCAGCACCACAUGUUCUUGCCCUUAAGAGAGUUGCAACCUACGUGUCACCCAUGUGCCAACCACACAAGGGAGAUUGUCCCCUCUGCUCUGCUUUCAUGAGACCCCAUCUGGACUGCAGUCUAAGUCUGGGGGACCAGGUUGGAACAGAUGUGGAGCUGUUGGAGCAGGUCCAGAGAUACCUCAUUUCAGCCUUUCAGUAUUUAAAAGGAGCUUAUAAACAAGCUGGAGGCUGUCUUUUCACAAGCACCAUCAAUAGGAGGGGUGAUACUGCUUUAUUACCAGAUCUUCCUCAGAGUACUUCUGUAUUUCCGAACUUCUAAUAUGAACGGAGAAAGAAAAGAAAUGCAGCUAUGUUAAAUGUCAGCACAGCAAUAUGUUGGUGACCAAGCAUGGUGCAUAACUAAAUUUCAUGCUUCCCUGAAUCACAAAUAAUUUACAGAGCUACUGGGCCACUGGUUUAAUUUUCCUAUUAAAUUGGCAGUCAUCUGACCCAGGAAUUUGCCAUUUAGCUUGUUGAAAAAAAGUCUCUGUUACAGGAUUUCAUUUUAGUUUUCAUUCAUACAAAACAAUCAAAUGAUGCAAAAAGUUUUAUCUUUUAAAUUGAGAGCUGUAUGGUAUUCCUUUUACCUGAAACCCUUUCAUUACAGGACUUGUACUUGCAGGCGCAUUAUACAGUAGGGGGUUGGAACUAGGUAAUAUUUCAGGUCCAUUCCAAUUCAAGCCAUUCUAUGAUACUGAAAUAUAGAAAACAAAAGGGAAGGACUCUUGUUUGCAACAGUUGCAUGUGGAAUAUAAUGGAAUUAAUACUGCUUAACUGCCACAGUAAGUAGUUAUUUCUUUUACUACACUGCAGCAUUAAACAGUGGUUAAGAAAAACAAGCUUUUGACAUGGAAAUAGUCUGCAUAAUAUAGGCCUUCACUGGCCGUGCCUCAUUCAGCUGCCUGUUCUUCACUACACAAAAUAGGAUAAUGUAAUGAAAUAUAACAGGAUUGCCUGUUAUUUUUAGUAGGUGCACAAACACAACAAAAAUAAUAGUAAUAAUAAUUGUAGAACAUGUCAAAUAAUGCAUUUUAUUUUUAGCACCUCUUAAGUUUGUUUGUGUUUUCUGCAGAUUGUAGUGUUUAGAGGCGAUAUAGCAAUAGUGAAUUAACUCCUAAACUGUGGGCUGCAGUGUGCCUGCUAAGCUUACAAACAUAUUUGAAAGACUGCUGAUCAAACCAUAUUUCCCAGGCCAAGAAUGCGAGGAGGCUACACCAACAGACCCAGAAUGAAUUCAUAGCAGAAAGGACAGAACUAAUACUGACCAUCACUGAAAAACUGGCUAAUCUUUGGAAAAACAAAUAAACAAAAGAAGUGGUCCAGCCUCCAGAACUGACCUGAUGGAGACAUUUUUAUCCUGAGAGUAUCAAUAUAUAUCUGGUAGUAUCUACAAGGCAUUACUUUUUCACAUUCAAAUCCCUUGUCUGCCCAACAGUUUUCAUUGUCAGAGGAUGAACUGCAGGGGUAGCAUGUUUACAAUCAAAGUUCAGGCAGUCUGGUCUGUGAUAUCUACAGCAAUAAAAGAACAAAUGUUCUGAAAGAGUAAGCCUCCUCUGAAAGGUGCAGCUUUCCAGCCAAGAGUGCCUGAAAUCAGUAAGGAAGAAGAAUCUCAAGAAGUAUACAGCCCAAAUCUGCUCGCUGAGAGUGAUGGGGGCAGGAAUGUGGUCCCACACCACAUUCUUGUCUCUAAACUGGAGAGAUACGGCUUUGAAGGGUGAACUAUUCAGUGGAUAAGGAAUUGAUUGGAAAAUCUCAGUCAGAGGGUUGUGGUCAACAGCUCUGUGUUCGGCUGGUGAUGAGUUGUGUCCCACAGAGUCAUCUUUAUCAAUUACAUAGAUUAUCUUCGAGGUCCCUUUCAACCCAAGUCAUCCAAUGAUUCUCUGAUUCCAUGAAAUAAGUGAUGAUAAUCUCAAUACCUGUUUUGUUCUCCUCAACACAUGAACGUGAGCUGGCUCUAGUAUGCCAUGAUCACAACAUCUGAAUAAAUAUAACUACUACAGAUAUUUUAUUUUUUUUUCCUAGCAGGAAACAUAACUCAAUUCAAAGGAAAGAAAAAUAUUGAAAGGCAUAAUGAAGUGUAAGAAUGACAGCAUUGGUAUCUGAUAGAGACUGAAACAAAUUUGAGGUUAACAAAUAAAAGAAUUAAUGGAAAUGGAAUAUGACUACAUUGGUUCUCCUAUGUGUUUUAUUUCCCCCGGGUUGAAUUUGCAUUCAAACUACGUUAGAUAUCUCCCUGAGAAGAUUACAGUGCAGAGCAAAAAUAACUAAUUUCAUUGAAAAUGAAUCACACUGUGAGGUAUGUCUUUAAAGAUAUAGCUCUGACAAAUAAAUCUGCUACAAUCAGCUUCCUAUUUAAUUCUUAAUAUACAGUAGUAAGUUCAUACUGCAGUGAAGCAUCUGACUUGAUUUUACUGCAGUCAGAAAACAUACGAUAUGCUUUCUGUCAGAUUCUUCUGAAAUAAAAAUCAACAGCAGAAGAAAAGAAAACUAUCCAGUUUUGCAAUGAAAUGAAGAAAUGGCAUCAAGGGAAGGAAAUGUAUACACAGGAUUGUUCAUAUUCAUAACUCAUGGCCUAUAUGUUUGCUUUUAAAUAAUUUUUUGUUUUUAUUUUCUGACAGGCUUUUCUUCAGAUACAUAAAAUCCCACAAAAAUCUCAAGAAUAAUUUUAUUUAUUUAUUUUAAUGAAGCUGAGAGGAAAGGGCAAGCUUCGAAACCUCAGAGAAAGCUCACCAUCUAGGAUAAGUGGAUCAUACUGUGUGCUGUACAUCUGCAGGCAAAUGGGCCUUCCUAAUGCCAGUGGACUGCUCUGAAAGUGUAAUUGGAAUGUGAGUGAUGCAGUAAGCCUUGCACUGUUGAUGUGCAGAGACCAAUUUCACUCAUUGUACACAACUUGAUCAUGACAGCAUGGAAAAGAACUAUUUCAUGGCUUAAUAUGAAUCUACUGGUAUAUCUGAUACAGUAAAAUGUGCUUUUCUUUUUAAUUGAAGACAGUUCAAAUAAAUGGUUUAGAAAACAAACAAACCAGCUUUCUUGGAAUAAAGCAUUUAUUGUUCUUGCAGCAAGAAGAGAUCAAAGGCAAGCAAAACUGCCGUGGUGUUGUGCACUUUCUUACUGAUCUCUAAAACAUAGUAGAGACCCUGAGGCUUAAAAAUGAAUUCCUCUAGAAAGGGGUUUUGUCCUCUUUUUUUCACCUUGGAAGCCACUGGUGUCUCAGUGUGCUAACUGAAUUUAACCAUCCUAAGAGAAGGGUACAGUGUCAUGGAGAAAUCUUCACUCCUGUGUAUUCAUCGUUGUUUUUUUUUUUUUUUUCUUUGUUUAUUUAUUUUCACAUUCCAGUACUCAGCAUUCUUUUUUAUAGGAUCUGGUAAAUCUGAUCAGUGGUCUUAGUAUGAAGGCUAUUUGACUAUUUCUUAACAUUGCAUAUAAUUUAUUCGCAUAAUGAUAGGGGAAGAAAUAUAUUUUCUGACAUAUGCAUUUGCUAAUGAGAUAUUCAAAGUGUGAGAAGUUGGGGAGGAUAUGGGAAAUAAACUCUUUUUGUGGACAGAAGCAGCAGUUACCCAAGCCCAGAAUACCUCACUGCAAUAUAUAUGGCUGAUAUAGAGAAAAUCUCCUACUAUUACAUGGUUUCAAUCAAAUUAAGAUCUAAUUAAUGAUUGCUUUUUUGACAUCACAUAAAUAACUGGCAAUCUGCGACCUACACAUUCAGGAUCGAUACCAAAAACAGGGGAGAUCCAUCACAAUGGUAGAAACUUACAAAAUACUAAGAGACCCCAACAAGCAUUCCACACCCUUCUUUGCCUUUCCCCAAGAUGCUGCUCCUAAAGCACCCAGACCCACACACAUUUCAUGCUGCUUUAUUACUCCUACCUAACAAGAUCUUCCUUUUUCUAAAGUCUCCUUGUAAGUCCCAAGCUAAUGUUUAAUCCAGCUAAUAUUUGUCUUCCUCAGCUAUUCCAUCAGUUUUGGCCAGACGCCCUCUUGAGAAGCAUUAGGUUUUUAAGUGAAGUGAUUUCUGCUAACUUUUCUGUCUGUACAGCUAAGGUUAUCCUCACCAUCUAACCAAGCAGAGAUGUUGUGUGGGACCCCUAUGUUCACCCUUUGAACACCACUUGACACUACACUCAUUUUAUAUGUAUAAUUGUCUCACUGCUGUAACUCUUUUAUACAACACAACUAUCAUAACCCAUACUAUAAGGUUUAAUGAUACACACAAAAUUGCUAUUAUAUCCAAAUCCAAUUCUCUCACCUGGCAAAAAUACAGCUGAGUGAUCUGCCCAGUUUGAACAGUCUCUAACUCCAGUGAUGCCUUUCUGCAUUUAUUUUAGUAGCUCUUGUAACACUGUUCUCAAAACUUUCUGUAAGAUUGAGCACAUAACCAGCUGCUGCUACCCAGCUUUUUUGACAUGGAGGAGGGACAAGGUGACAACUCAUUUGACAAGACAAAUGACAGUAUGAUGUGGGGUUCUUUUGCCUUCAGUUUCAGUGAAGUCAUCUGCUUUUACAUAAAAUGUGCUGGAGUGCAUCAGGUCUAGCACUGUCAGAUCAGUGGAUGAGUGAGAGUUUUGCUCAAGUACAGCCUCACCUGCAGUGAGCAGCUUUGGGUGCCAUGGUAUAAGAAGGACAAAACUAUUAGAGAGUCCAAAGAAGAGCUGAAAAGAUGGGGAAGGGUCUAGAGGGCAAGAUAUAUGAAGAGCAGCUGAGAUCCCUUGAUUUCUUCAACCCAUAGCAGAGGAGCUGAAGGGAGGUUUCAUGGAGGUCUGCAGCCCCUCACAUGGGGAGCAGUGGGGCAGCACUGAGCUCUCUGCUCUCUGGUGAUAAUAUUCUUCACCAGAGGCUGGUAGGGCCUUGGAAUAGGCUCUCCAGGGCAGUGGGCAUGGCCCUGAGCCGCCAGUGUUCAAGGAGCCUUUGGACGGUUCUCUCAGAAGUAUAGUUUGGAUGGUCCUGUGUGGAGCCUGAAGUUAGACCAUUCUUGUGGGACCCUUCUAGCUAUGGAUAUUUAGUGAUUCUAUGAAAAUGCUUUCAAUUGCCUGUGAAACCUUGGCUAUCUUGAGAAAAGCAUGGUGAGGAAGGUAGUUUGUGCAUAGUUUUAAGUAACACGGAGGCUGAAUUCACAAGUGUAAAGAGUUUGCAAAGGGUUCAUUAUUGUCCAUUAUUUGGAAUAGGAUGCCCAUACUGGCAAAUUGUUUGCACAGAGACUGGUGCAAGGGCAGUAUUUCUCUGGCUUUUUAUGUGGAGACACUAUAUGCCCUAUCCUUUCCUCAGCCCAGCAGGAUAUCUUCUUUGCAUGCUGGCAGCAGAAAUAGCAUCAUCUGUAGUUAAAGCUGGAUGAGGCAGGGAAAUGAGGCAAGGCAAGGAGCCAGGCUGUCUCGAAAGGCCAUGCUGGGCCUGAGAACUUCUUGUGCAGUCCUCCCCACUGGUGCACAGGUGUUUCAGAAAGAUUAAGUGACAAACAUUAUUGAAAAGUAUGUCAUCAUUUAACACCUGGAAGAUAGUUUCAACUACACAUUUGAACACAGCUCAGCAGUCAGAGGCACCUCAGCUUUCCAUUUAUGUCCAUCAGAGGCUCCCUGAAACAGGUAAACCAUUUACUACUAAACUCAUAAUCAUUUCUCAGAGGCCGGAUCAUACAACUUUGUGCAUUUGUUCCAGAACAUAUAUUCUGUGCAUCAGAAUGAGUAAUAUUUCUGACAGAGACAAUUUGUGCUUUAAAUACAUAACCUGUUAUAAAGGCAGCUUCAAGCAUUUAUUUAUUUAUUUAUUUAUUUGUCAUUUACAUUAAUGACAAAAACAUGGGUUAAAUAGAAGUUGCAAUAUAAGAGGGAAGGAGUGCAUGACACAAAUAAUUACUCCUACAACUAGAUUUUGCAUUUUCUAUUAUGUACUAUCACUUGAAGAUAGUGCAAUUUUAAAACUAUUUCGUCAAGAAAGGAAAUGUAUGCAGUUGAUUUAUUAAAAUCUCUUCAGCACUAGUCAUUUCAUUUUAUUAGAGUCAAAACAUCUCAUCUAGCAAAGCUAAGCAUUGUAUUUCAGUGUAAGCAUUUGGACUGUGCUAAAAUUCAUCUAAAAAACACUCCGUGUUUUAGUUUUAGAGUAACAGUUUUCUUUCCAAGGAACUGCAAAGUCAUGUUCACUGUGCCAAAUUGUGGGUCGAUGUUUGUUUGGUUGGAUGGCUUUUUUAAAAAAAAAUUUAAGUAUUCAAUUGAUUUAAUUCUUCCAAAAAUUUCAAAUUUCCCUCUAAGAAAUAUGAACUACUUUAUUACAAAUGUUUUUGUGUAACCAAAUAGUGGCUCUCAACAUAUUCACAGUAUAAAUAAUCAUCUUAUCCUCUGUCCCUAACCCUCUCUUAGCUGCUAUUCAUUAAAAUCCAGUUUUCGUAUCAGACCUGCACCAAGAUUACUGAAUAUAGCAGAAAAACUAAGAAUGUCACAUUUUCCUCACCUCACUUCUGUUACCCUAUCUAUCAUGCAACAAACCCAAUGUAGUUGCAUUUCUGCCCACCUGGAAUCGGCUACAGCAUUAUGAGUGAAACAUUUUAAAAUGCUCUGGUAAUGUCAUUUACUAAUAGCUCCUUCUGAGUCUUUCUAAGGUGUCAGGGACUGAUUUGUACGAUGGUGUUUUUUUUUUAAAGUAAAUGGAAGAAUUUGCCAGUAACCACCUCUUCUUCUCAAUAGCCUGAUGUAUUCUAGUUCAAACAUUUAAAAGCUUAUUCUGAUAUAUGGUUGCAUUGUCUAAAGUAAUCUCGGCUCAGCUGCAUCCUUUCUAAAAUAUAUAAUAAUAGUGCCUCAGCAUAUGCUGGCAUUAAAAUGAAAUGAAAAGAUAAAACAAAGCUUUCUCAGCAAAAGUUUUACCUAUAUUUUUCAUCCUGACUUGGGCUCAUCCAAUUUAGUAAGUUCCAUCUUAGCUGAGUCAUUCUAAAUAGUGGAAUAUGUAGCCUGGGUCACUGCAUUUAUGUCAAACUGGGCCAGGAUGACUCGUGUGACUGUGUUUCAGCAAAGAAACUUGUCCUCAUCUCAGCUGUAUUUUUGCUACAUGCAAAACCUGUAGAGUUGCAUGCACUUUGUCUUCCCAGCACAGACAUUUAAUCUGGAUACUGAAGAGUGUUCUUCCAUCUCUGCAGCCACUGGAAGCACUUCCCUUGGUGCCUCUGGGUCAGGUGAGGGGUUCAGCACUCAGGCAUCACUGCGUACUGCAAACCUAAGAGGCAGGCAGGUGAGGGAGGCUUGCAGGCAGCUCACCCAAGGGCUGGUGUGUGGUUCCAUGAAAGGGAUGCUGGGUGAAACUGCAACUUUUAUUUUAUUUUCUUUUAUUAUUUUUUAAUUAAGAUUCCUCAUUCUUUGCUCUUUCUUUUCUAAAGUAUUCUUUAUUUUUAGCAAAUUGGAUUCCAAUAGAAGAUAUCUGAUAGGUAAUUCUUGGGGAACCAGAGCACUUCUUCAUAUUUAUCUUUGCUCUCACUAAUCCUUAUUAAAGGAUUAUUUUUUCUCCUAUAGACUAUCCAGAGGGACGGAGUGAUCUUUGGAAUUUGGACUUUACCUUUAGUAAAAGGAAAAGCUACACAUAGGAUGUUGCUUCUGUUCACAUUAACAUUUAUAGAUGCAUUAAUUCUCCUCACCUGAGUACAAUUAAGAGUUUGCAUGAACAUUUGCAGAACUGGAGCCAAAAUAAUUAUAGUUUACAUAGGAGUGUGACAGGGAAGCAUUUCAUUACCACAAUUAAUCCUUUAGAGCACCACAAAAAGGCCAAUUUCUCAGUUAGAAUAGAACAGAUUAUGUGCUGCUAAUCAAAGGUAAAGUUUAUGUAAUACAAAUAAACAAUAUUUAAUAUUAUAGGAUUAUAUAAUAUUUAACAGCUUCAUAAUUCAAGGUUAUUUUUAUUUUGCAAAUGCUUAUUGCAAAUGAAGAGAGAAUGAGAAAGUCUUUUUUUAUACUUGAAGACACUUGGAUAACAAUUUUACAUUAGGUGGCACUAAUUCCCUAUUAACUGGUAUUAAUGUGAUAUGCAGAGUAAUGCAAUCCCAUAGAGCUUAUGUAUAAGACUUGGCAAAGCAUAUAUUCCUUCCAUGUACCAUAUACAGAUUACAUUAACCUUCAGAUGUUCUUUAGCACCAACUCAGAGUAAGUUUUGAGGUCAUGGACAAUUUCAGAAUCCUGGGUUGGUCUCAGAUACCCAGUACAUGUGUCUGUUAACUGACAUGAUGAGUGAUUGGCAUUGAAUCAGAGAAGCUGCCGUUCUUCGGUGGAUGAAUAUUAGAGAACAAUCACUGAGGGUGCCAAGCCUUUUUAUUUUAUGAUGAGGUAACUUUUUUCUGCACACAAGAGUUUCUAUCAAAUAAAAAGAUAAAAAAUGAUGUGGUCUACUUUAGAUGAUGAUGUGGCACAAAAAAAAAAACCCACAAAAAACAGCAAUUCAGAUGUAAUUUCUCAAUAUGGCUUCGUACUCAGUUAACUGUUUAAUGAAGCAGAUUCCCUUUUUCAUUGCAUUGCAUAUUCUGCCAAGCCCAGGAAAAAAUUCUGGCGACUGACAGUAAGCUGUCUGAUUUCACAGAAGUCAUGCCCAGCUGGGAGGAAGAGGGAAGAAAGAGAGAUGUUUCAAAGAAGAGAUAAGCCAUGUCUAUACAUUCACAGUAACAUGGGAAACCUCCUGCGCAUUGGGCACAUAAAGUGAUAUGUUACCACUGUUUGAUACUGGCAAACUUACAAAUAAAAGCCCAGAAUAGGCAUAACAGUGAGGACUCUGCCUGAGACCAGUAAGUCUGCUCAUGUGAAAUGGAACACAAAUAUCAUUCUGUAUAAGGAUUUGGAUAGGAAGAGACCUCAAAGAGCAUCUAGUUCUGACCUAACUGCCAUCCACAACCUCUCUUGGCAGCAUGUUCAAGCACCUCACCACCCUCUCAGUGAUUUUUUUUUCCUGUGACAGCUAAUCUAAAGCUCCCCUCUUUUAGUUUAAAACCUUUCUCCCUUAUCCUGUAAUUAGCUAGCUAUAUAAAAAGAUCCUGUUUAUAAGCUCUCUUUAAGUACUGGAAGGCUGCAGUGAGGUCUCCCUGAACCUUCUUUUCUGCAUGCUGAACACACCCAGGUCUCCAUGCCUGCCUUUGUAACAGAGGUUCUUCAGCCCCUUGUCUGAAUUUGAAUUAAAGGACUCCUGUUUUUAUCUGCUGAUCCUCAUAAUUAAAGAAACCCAGUCAUACAGACUGGCGUUGAUAUUACAGACUAAACAUAUGCAUACACCUCUAUAUGCGUGCAUGCAUUACGCUUUCUCUGUGGAGCUCGGAACAUUGGAAGGUCAGGAGAUUGAGCUUUCCAUUGACAAAGCAUGUUGUCUGCUGAAGGUUCUAAGAAGUCAGGUGGGCUAACCAUUUUACUAUCACGUUUUUCUUAGCUGUGCUGUACAACUCAUUGCCUUAUGGCUCCCAGCUCAGCAGCAUUUUGUUACAGCGCAUGGUGUUUGCUAUUGAUAACUGUCAGGUUAAUUGCUCAGGAGAGUCAGAAGUCCUGUGUGCCAGAGCUAACGCAGGGAAAUAAUUGACACAGUGGUGGGGGGGCACUGUUCAAAGGAAAGCCUUUAAAUGGAUUCAUAAAUCAGGAGUGAGAAAUCUCAAGAAGGAGUGGUAAAUGAGCAGUUGAUACAAAUCAGAGGAAAUGGAUUUUCUCAAAGGUGAAAGCACAUCUCAGAGAAUUUGCAAAAUUAAUUAGAAGACGCCAGGGAAAUAACAUAUGAAAUACUCUUUUUAGCUCAUUCCAUGCCAGUGUAGUCCUACAGGAACACACUCCCAGAUUGGGACACAUUUAUUUAAUUUCCAUGUUUUAAAAUAUUUGCCAUUAAUUUAUUGUAAAAUGAACUAGAAGAUAAUGUAGCUGCUGAUUUUUGCUGAUCAAAUUGGAUCUCCAGCUAAUCCUACCUACUGGAGAUAACCACAGUGACGUGUUUCUAUAUUUCACCCAUCCCAGUGUAUCACUACCCCACAUGUCCUCACAUGUCCUCACAGGCCAACACUUGUGAUUGAAGCCUAUGAGUUUGUCAGCAUUACCAUCAGUCUCCCCUUCCAUACCUGCCAUGUGCAAACAGCCCAGAGCGGUGAGCAGCAGAGAGAUGGCAGGCAGUAACACAUUCUGGGCUUCCUAUGAUCCAAAUCAGCAUUUAUCUAGAGCACUGUUGGGUCUUUUACUGGGGAUCAGUAUUUGUGUUAUUUGACCUCAUUGCUUUUCACAGGAUCAAUUUUAUUUUAUGAUUUUAAUAAUUUUCUCAUCAUUCACCUAUACAGUUUUAAAGGGUGUUUAUUUUGCUGUCAGUCAGGAAUUUGACCAGAGAUUAAUGUAGUGCAUUGUAAGCCAUUUUGAAGAGAAUUGUGUUUGCAGAAUUAUAAUAUUAUUGGCAUAUUUACAGAGAUUUUCAUCUCAAACAUCUCCCAGGCAGAAAGAGGGAAUUACCAAGCAUUAUGUCCAGAAGGGUCAGGUAGUGGAUAUAUUGGAUCUUCCCUGUGUUAUAUGUACUUCACUAUGUGGAUCUUCAGAUGAUUUUAAAAACAAAGCAAACAAACAAAGAACAGAAAAACAAAAACAGCCCCAAACAGUAGUGAUGUCUGCUUGUGUGGCACUUGGGAGGCAGCCUGGGGUGAAAGGAGAAUUUAUUAGCCAGGACAUAGGCACCAUCCCAUGGGUGAUACCAUACCAUCACCACUGCAAUUAUAGUAGUGCUGUAUUUACCCUACAGUGUGAUCUUCAUGUGAAACAAAUGAAAGUCAGGGAAAGACCCAAGAGAAAAAGUUUUUUUCAACUUGUUCUGUGAUUUAAUACCAUUAGCAAUAUUAAUUGCAUAGUUUUACAAGAAUGCCAUAAAUUCUUAAAGCGAUAAAAGACUGAUCUGUUUCCACUGUAGGUAUUUUUCAGUGAACAGCUUGUUUUCAUGGAAGCAACUUGCUAGUCAAAACAAAAGAAAAUGUGGAGAAAUUUGGGAGGAGGCUGGGAGAAGACACUAUUAUUCACAGGGCAUGGAUCCUCCAGUACUCAGCUGACCACGCAGAUGGGACCACAGCAAGAGUAGGAGCAAUGCAGCUGAACUAUGAGGUACUUGGGUUUGCUGAGCCAAACAAGUAUCUCAGCAGAUGAAGCACUGACAGCAUCACAGUUGUAGGCGCACCACUUUGAAAAGUCCAGAAUGUAGUUUCUUUAACUUCCUUUCACAUUUAAUAUAGAAUCAAAUGAAAGAGGACUCAGCAGAGCCUCUCUGUAGCAGUGACCUUAGUAAAUGUUUAGAGCAAAGCCUACAGUGUUACAAAACAUAAAUUCAAAGCAACAAAUAAAACAAAUAAAAGAAAAAGCAACAACAUCCCUUUCUGGACUUCAUUUUUACUGGAAAGCAGAAGAGCGGACCAUCAUGAUGAUUAAGACACCAGCCAUUAACUCACAAAACUCUCGGAGAUACCUAAUUCCCUGCUACUGUGCCUUUCUCUCAUCAUUUGAGCAGUGCAAAAGUGCAGAGAAAUAGGUGAUAACGUACUAGCAGAGUGACAUUAAGGAAAAUUAGGUUUUGUAUAGCAGAAAAAGUAUGUAUGAAAUGUGACUAUGAGAGAACUUCCAGUGACUAGCCAUUUUGCACAGAUGGUUGGGGCAAUAUUAUGCAGUGUUCUCUUUUAUAGCAGAGCACAGAAAUAAUCAGCAUUUUUUAUGUCCACACUUCUUUAUUAGUGUUCACAGGAAUAAGGGUGGCAGUAUGGCUUAAACACUAUGUAUUUAUACCCUAAACCACAAAUUCUCAUGCUGUUUCCUGCUAACAAUUGCACUGUCAAGCCUCCAGAGUGCCUUGAAGAGCUGUCUUCAGCAUGUAAAUGUUGACUGUAAUGGAAUGAGACUGAAAAACAUGAGAAGCAGCAAGAGGUGGAGUAUGAAUGCAGUAUCAUAAUCAGUCAUUGGUGGCAGUCAUUAACAGCACCAGCAUGGAUAUAAAGCGCAUUAAAAUAAUUUAAUGCUUUACACAGAGCAUCCCCAAAGGUGAGUGACUGAGGUGGUGUAAGAUGACAGGAAAAAGACUCCCUUCUACUUAUGAGCAGUUCCCCCUGAAGAGGGAGGAACUGAAAUAGAUCUUUAUUUGACUCUGAACAGCAGAAAGACCAGUGGUGCUGCCCUACUUCCCGUUCCAACUCAUGAUCUCUAUCCACAUAUAGCAGACAGAAAGAUAUUGCUAAAAGCAGGGGUAGAUAUAUAGAGAUGUUAGGAGAAAAUUGAUAUUUUCAUUCAAAGUCUUUUCCUUCUUAAUUCUGCCAGUUGAGGGGAAAGUGGGGCAAAGAAGGAAGCACUACCUACAUUAAGUGUAACAUUACUUUUCAAUCAUUUCAUCAAACCCAAAUAUGUAGAUACAAAGGCACUCUCAUUGCACCCAAGUUUUGUGCUGAAUCUGUAUUGAAAAAGAGAUUGGAUUUGAACAAUGUUUCAAAUAUGAUAGUACAUGUUAUUGUCCAAGUUCUACCUUGUAUUUAGUUAUGAAAUUGGUUGACUUUAUAUAUUGCUCUGCAAGGCAGCAAAAGGUCUUUCAGAUCCCAAAGCAAACACAGUAUUUGCUCUUCUGAUAUCUGUGUUCAAAUGUAGCUGUAUCUGGAGCAGACAUAUAUAUAUAUGAGAGUAAGGAAAUAUCAAAAACCAUUUCAAGAAUUCAUGUGCAUUAACAGAAGAAAAAGGGGGAGAAAGCUAUAUGAUUGAACUACAAAGUGAAUGUAGGCAGGGAAAAAUUAAUUUCACAAUCUGGAAUGUGAGAAGAGCAUCAGUACUUAACAGGCCUUUAUGGUGAGACCUGUUGAGGGAUGUUUAAUAAGUGUAAGGGGCCAGGAUCCCAUUUGCACCUCACUCUCUGGUAGCCCAGAUGCCACAGGCAGAGCAGUGGAGAAAGGUCCAGUGCUGACUGUGGUUGUGUAGAGUGGGGAAUAGACGCACUGGUCAUUUACCAAUAAACAUCUCUUCCUUCACAUGUGAGGGAAUUUCUCUCACCAGCUUUCCUACUGAACUGCUAAUGAGGUAAUGUUGACUUAGCUUGAAAACUGUAGUGAGACUGUGACUCGAGUAGAUGUGAUAGUGGGUGUCAUUUCAUGCCAACUUCAUUUGACUUUGGCUCCCUAAGUUCAGUCUGGGACCAGCACUGCCAGCACAACUCUGAUGCUGAAAUAAUGAAAA